rnacentral:rRNA from 1 species
AUUGAACGCUGGCGGCAUGCCUUACACAUGCAAGUCGAACGGCAGCACGGGGCAACCUGGUGGCGAGUGGCGAACGGGUGAGUAAUGCAUCGGAACGUGCCAUUGAGUGGGGGAUAACGUAGCGAAAGUUGCGCUAAUACCGCAUAUUCUGUGAGCAGGAAAGCAGGGGACCGCAAGGCCUUGCGCUCUUUGAGCGGCCGAUGUCAGAUUAGCUAGUUGGUGAGGUAACGGCUUACCAAGGCGACGAUCUGUAGCGGGUCCGAGAGGAUGAUCCGCCACACUGGAACUGAGACACGGUCCAGACUCCUACGGGAGGCAGCAGUGGGGAAUUUUGGACAAUGGGCGCAAGCCUGAUCCAGCCAUGCCGCGUGAGUGAAGAAGGCCUCGGUUGU